rnacentral:rRNA from 1 species
GAUGAACGCUGGCGGCGUGCCUAAUACAUGCAAGUCGAGCGAACGGAUAAGGAGCUUGCUCCUUUGAAGUUAGCGGCGGACGGGUGAGUAACACGUGGGUAACCUACCUAUAAGACUGGAAUAACUUCGGGAAACCGGAGCUAAUGCCGGAUAACAUUUGGAACCGCAUGGUUCUAAAGUAAAAGAUGGUUUUGCUAUCACUUAUAGAUGGACCCGCGCCGUAUUAGCUAGUUGGUAAGGUAACGGCUUACCAAGGCAACGAUACGUAGCCGACCUGAGAGGGUGAUCGGCCACACUGGAACUGAGACACGGUCCAG